CAAGAUUCUCCAAAAUACCACUACACUUGGAUUUAGGAACCAUCUACUUUGUUCUGGUCCUUACACUGAACCCAUCUCCAUUGUAUUGGAAUGCCUGACUGGCUUGCUCAUUGGCUGCUGGCUUGGAGUGUGCUGGAUCUCAUCUUCCUGAACCACUGAAGGCGAUCAGUGCUUGAAUGGAACAUUCCCUUCACACUCAGGCCAUGAAGAGGAGGGAGCUAUGGCAGCUGAAUUUUCCCGUUGUGAUAGAUGAAAAGUCAGAUGACAACAGGAAGUGACUGAAUUAUCCAUUCGCUAUGCAGAAAGCAGUUAACCACAACUGAAAACAGAAAAGGUAGAAGCAGAGGGGUAAAAUUCCCCUGUGGUCUGCUCUCCUAAAUUUCCAGUUCCAGGGGCCUAUCAAACAACUAGUGUGAGGGGCAGUGCCUGCUACCUGCGUCAGGAACACCCUGGGUGGGAGCUGGGCAUGGUGGCUCCUCCUGGAAUAUCCCAG